rnacentral:rRNA from 1 species
AUACGGAGGGUGCAAGCGUUAUUCGGAAUCACUGGGCGUAAAGGACGCGUAGGCGGGUUGGCAAGUCAGAUGUGAAAUCCUACAGCUUAACUGUAGAACUGCAUUUGAAACUGCUAACCUAGAGUAUGGGAGGGGGAGAUGGAAUUAGUGGUGUAGGGGUAAAAUCCGUAGAUAUCACUAGGAAUACCGAAAGCGAAGGCGAUCUCCUGGAACAUAGCUGACGCUAAGGCGUGAAAGCGUGGGGAGCAAACAGGAUUAGAAACCCCAGUAGUCC